rnacentral:rRNA from 1 species
UACGUAGGGUGCAAGCGUUAAUCGGAAUUACUGGGCGUAAAGCGUGCGUAGGCGGUGUUGUAAGGCAGGUGUGAAAUCCCCGGGCUUAACCUGGGAAUGGCAUUUGGGACUGCAAGGCUUGAGUGCGGCAGAGGAGACUGGAAUUCCUGGUGUAGCAGUGAAAUGCGUAGAUAUCAGGAGGAAUACCGAUGGCGAAGGCAGGUCUCUGGGCUGACACUGACGCUCAUGCACGAAAGCGUGGGGAGCAAACAGG